CGUGUAGGCGGCCAGGUAAGUGAGAUGUGAAAUCCCUCGGCUCACCCGAGGACCUGCAUCUCAUACUGCCUGGCUUGAGUAUGGGAGAGGAUGAGGGAAUUCCUGGUGUAGCGGUGAAAUGCGUAGAUAUCAGGAGGAACACCGGUGGCGAAGGCGCUCAUCUGGCCCAAUACUGACGCUGAGGCGCGAAAGCUAGGGGAGCAAACG
rnacentral:rRNA from 1 species